GUUUGGGCAAUAAUGUAUGUGGUUACCUAAGCUCUACCAAGUUGUUUCAAAACUGAUUGGAGGGAAAAAAAAAAAAAAAACCUAUAGCGCCACCAACAAUUAAAUUAUAAGAUUAUUUUUCCAAGAUCACAGUGACUCAAAGUUUUCCCUCAUAGAUGUUAUAUAUUUAGUUUGAGGUACUGGUGGGGAGGGGGUCGUAAAUGCAAUUCAGUGUUAUAAGAUUAGACAAGCAAGAAUGGUAUUCUGUAGCCUUACGAAAUCACAAACACAUGUCAGUCGUCAGUUUAACAAAGGAUCCUCUGUUUAAAAAUAAAAUGUUAUGCUAAAAACAAAUUACAUUUAAGUAAGUAUAUAAUUAUACUUAUUUUUAAAUGCUUUCCUAUGAAAAGAAAGGUUUUCCUGUUUUUUUAAUGAGAUACCAUUCGAUAAUAUAAAAUUAACCAUUUUAAGGUAUACAAUUCAAUAGUUUUUGGUGUAUUCACAGUUGUGUAUGACCAUCAAGACUAUCUAAUUCCAGAACAUGACCCCAAAAAGAAACCCCAUAGCUGUUAGCAGACAAUCCAAUUCCCUCUCCUUCAUCCCCUGGCAACCACUAAUAUAUUUUCUAUCUUGAUGACUUUGCCUAUUUUGAACAUUUCCUAUGAAUGGAAGCACACUGUAUGUGUCAUUUCAUGUCUAGCUUCUUUCUCUUAGCAUAAUGCUUUGAAGGUUAAUCCAUGAGGUAGCAUGUAUCAGUAUUCCCCUCCUUUUUAUAGCUGAAUAAUAUUCCUCUGCAUGGAGAUACCAGAUUUUGCAUGCCCAUUGAUCAGCUAAUGGACAUGUGGUUUGUUUCCACUUUUUUGCUAUUACAAAUAAUACUGCUAUAAAUAUUCAAUGUACAAGUUUUCAUGUGGACAUAUGUUUUCAAUUCUUGGAUAUAUACCUAGGAAUGGAACUGCUGGGUCAAAUGGUAACUCUAUGUUUAAUUUUUUGAGGUACUGCCAAACUGUUUUCCACAGAGGCUGGAUCAUUAUACAUUCCCACAAACAAUGAUUACGAGUUCUAAUUACUUCACAUCUUCUUCAAUCUUUCUUAUUUUCUUCAUCAUCAUCAUCAUCAUCAUCAAGAUCAUCAACAUCAUCAUCAUCACAAUCAUCAACAUGGCCAGCCUAGUGAAGAAUGAAGGAACAUUCCAGGAUCAAGUUUCCUAAAAUUUGGAAAUAAACUGUGGAAAUUCUCCUAAGUUUAGGGGGAGACAGAACCACCUAGAAUCACUGACACCUUGAUUCAACACAAUCCGCAGACCGGGUGAUUAAAUAAAGCACUUUGGUUUUUUCAUAUGUUUGUUUGUUCAUUUUCUUUGCCUGUCCUCCACUCAAAGCACUUUGGAUUCAGCUACUUCGGAUGUCCAGUAAUGCCAAACAUUCCUGGAAUAAGACUAAACUUGCCUCUCCAUGGAAAGACUGGUAAUCACAUAACAAGGGAUAUGAUGAUAUUGGUAGCAUGCUGAGGUCAGCUGGGUAGACUGAUGCUCAGAACAGAUUUCAGGACUAAAGACAUGGGGUUAUAAUGUCUCAUUAUUUCUUCCCAUGCCACAUGGAUGGUGUCUCCUUAUUGUUGGGCACGUCAUUCUCACCUCCGUGCCUUGGUCCCAGCUGUUCCUUCUUUCCUGGAGGACGGUCUGUCUAAUCAUAAUUAUCCAAGACAGACUCCAGAUUAUCCAAGUCUGCUUAUUCUUCAAAGCUCAACUCAAAUCCUACCAAAACAGUACUGCAUGAUGGGAAAACCAUGGACUUCGAGGUUGACCAGAUCUGAGAUGGGCAAACAACCUCUCUGAAUCACAGAUUCUUUAUCAUAAAAUUCUGGGUCAUAGUGAGGAUUAGGGGUGCUCAAAAAUGGUAAGUAUUACAACUUUCAUUAUUCCAGCCAAUUACUGAUGCCCUUCUCUCAUUAAUACCAAAAACCUGAGACUUAUAACCACAUCCUUCAGGAUGUGUAUGAUUUGUACAACAUUUUGGGGAUUUCAUCGUCUCCCCAGACAUUCUUGAGGGCAGUGAAGGCACCUCACUUCUUUGAAACAGAGAUUCAGUUACACUGAGUAUCCACUUAGGGAGCCCUUGCUUUGUGAUAAGUACUGGGCUGCCUUCAUUUAACUCUCCAAAGAGUCCUGAGGAAGCAAUUUUUAUCUCAGUUACAGACAGGAAAACUGAGGCUCAGAUUUAUUGGUUGCAUGUCCAAAGCUGCACAGCUAGCAACUGGCACUCUGAUCUUGAAGGCAAGCCCUCUUUACCUACAAGUGCUCUCCACACAGAAGGGGCUCAAGUGCAAAUACUGAUUGAUGGGCUGGAUCCCACUCAUAUCGCUGGUCUAAUUGCAUCCUUUUCUUCGUGGCAGCUUGGCCUGCUGUCCCCUGGCUGCCAAGAUGUUCUUACUCACACUGCUCUGCCUUCACUCUUGCCAUUGUGUUGAGAAUCCAUCAAUACAAAGCUGUACAAUUCUAAGUACCCAGGAAGUGAGCAGACCAUAUUGCACAGGGCAACUAAGUGGUAAGAGUGAAAACAGCGUAGCAGACGGAAGCCCUAAGCAGGUCCUCCAGGCCAGAAGGAGGGUUGGGAGAGGGAAGACACUGGGGGCAAGUGACAGAUUACCUAAUCCUAGAAACAGGUAGAAAUAUUAAUUCCCUUUGGGGUAGAAAGUCAGAAGCAAAUGUAGCUACAAUCAGUCAUAGCAUGCUAAUAGCCAGGAAGUCACAUUUGAUGCUCCUGGAAAUAGACUGCUCACCUCGUAGGUCAGAAGGCAAUUACCUCCAUUCAGCUCAGGAAAUGCCUAUUUUUCAACCAGUGAGCAUAAUGUUUGGGGAUUUUUGCUCAUCUGUUGUUCCGCCUCCAUUGGAAAGAAUAUAUAAAAGUCAUAGCCAAAGGCAAAACACUUGCCCCGCUGACAAACAGCCCAUUGACCAUGGCAAAUCCUCUACUGCUAAACUAUUAGAAUUACGACUCGCUGCUUCCUUGGCAAAUACCUGCCCUAGAUGAAGUGCUCCAAACGCUGUAGCUGUCUCUGUCUAUUCCCACCCCUCCAAAGACUCUAUGAUGUUUAAAGGCCACCUGAAACAUUCUCAAUAAGGUACACAAUGCAGUUUAACAGACACUAACAUCUUAAAGGGCUGACCUAGAUUUAUCUACUCCAGGUGCACAGAGAUUGGUAUGUGCACCCCACUCCCCAUUUCCACUUACUUUUCAGUUGAAACUACUAUGAUCUCACUGUCUUUUCUUUUACACCGAAGGAAAGAAGGAAUCAUCCAGAAAGGGUGCGGGUUGUGGGGCGGGCACAGUGAUAAAGGCAGAAUAAAGAAAGAAAAGGGUAUUUUUUGAAUGUCCACCAUGUAUACAUCAUCCUGAUUUAAACCUAAUCACCUUCAGGGAAAAGUAUUCUUAUUUUAUUUCUAUUCAGGUGAAAGGUCCAUCAGAUGCAAUUAGCCAUUUUAAAGUGCACAAUUCAGUGGUAUUUGGUGCACUCACAAUAAUCUGCAACCACUACCUCUUUCUAGUUUCAAAACAGUCUCAUCGCCCCUGAAAAACAACCCAUACUUAUUAAGUAAUUGCUCCCCAUCCCCUUCUCCUCUCAUGUCCUCUUAAUGACUAAUCUGCUUUUUGUCUCUAUGGAUUUGCCUAUUAUGGAUAUACCAUAUAAAAGAAAUCAUGUAAUAUCUGAACUUUUGUGUAUGGUCUUUCUUUUAGCUUAAUAUUCUCAAACUUCAUCUAAGUUGUAGCAUAUAUCAGUACUUCAUUCCUUUUUAUGGCUGAAUAAUAUUCCAUUGUAUGUAAAAACCACUAUUUAUGUAUCCAUUAAUCAGUUGAUGGAUAUUUGGAUGGUUUCUGCUUUUUGUCUAUUAUGAAUAAUGCUGCUCUAAAUAUUCAAAUUUCUGUGUGAAUAUAUGUUUUUCUUGGGUAUAUACUCAAGAGUGGAAUUGCUGCUUUACGUCUGCUUUAAGAUGGGGAAACUGAGGCAGGAACCCUGCCUGAGGUGAUUUAGCUUGUUCGUGGUAGAGUCAGGAUUGGAAUCUAGUCCAGACCACUCCAAAACCACUUUUUUUACUUUUGUUUUUAUAAGAAAAGUAGUCCAUUCACAGGUCCAUCCACUAUACUUAGAACUUCUCUGGCUAAAAAUUCAGUGAAUAACUAUUUUUGUCAGAAAUUACUAACUUUUACUCUCCACUCAAACACCCUGAGGUCGAGUCAGGAUUGGAAUCUAGUCCAGACCACUCCAAAACCACUUCUUUUACUUUUGUUUUUAUAAGAAAAGUAGUCCAUUCACAGGUCCACCCACUAUACUUAGAACUUCUUUGGCUAAAAAUUCUGUGAUUAAUUAUUUUUGUCAGAGAUUACUAACUUUCCACUCAAACACCCUGAGGUCAUAUGAUUAAUACCACUAAUUUGAACUCAUGGAUCCAAUAGUUUCAUUUGGUUCAUGCUGAGAUCUGAGCUUUUUGUUUCCCAGGAAAAUCAAUAGCAGCAGACUUUAUCUUGUUAGAUCAAAUAUAACUUUUAUUUUUAAAAGCUCCAAUUAUGCCCUAAUGCACUGUUUAUGUACUCAGAGGGCUUAAUGAGAUAAUAAAUGAAAUUUUAAUUUGACAAUUAAUAGUAUAAAAGUGUUAGGAUAUUUUGAAAUUAGGAAGGCUUUUGUGUGAUUUUCUUUUCUUAUUAGCCCUUGUUUUAGGAUAUAAUUAUACUUGUGUCACAUUAUGACUGGGCAGCAACUCAAUUAUUAAGAAGUAGAAAAAUGAGUAAAUUUCCUACUCCUGUGCCUUUUGUAGCAAGUUAUGAAAACAAAAUAAAAAGUAAAAUGUAAUCAGAAAUGCUAAGAAAUGGUGUAAUUCUUUCAUUUCCAAUCAUUCCCGG
rnacentral:lncRNA from 1 species